GCAGAGAUGGUGCAGUGGUGAGAGCACUCGCCUCCCACCAAUGCACGGCCCGGGUUCGAAUCUCGGACCCGGCG